rnacentral:hammerhead_ribozyme from 1 species
AUCCAACUGACGAGUCCCGAAUAAGACGAAACGCAUGUCAUGGAU